rnacentral:rRNA from 1 species
GUAGGUGAACCUGCGGAGGGAUCAUUACACAACAAAAUAUGAAGGCCUGGCUUCGCGGCCGGCUGAAAUAUUUUUUUCACCCAUGUCUUUUGCGCACUUGUUGUUUCCUGGGCGGGUUCGCCCGCCACCAGGACCAAACCAUAAACCUUUUUUUUAUGCAGUUGCAAUCAGCGUCAGUAAAAACAAUGUAAUUAUUACAACUUUCAACAACGGAUCUCUUGGUCCUGGCAUCGAUGAAGAACGCAGCGAAAUGCGAUACGUAGUGUGAAUUGCAGAAUUCAGUGAAUCAUCGAAUCUUUGAACGCACAUUGCGCCCUUUGGUAUUCCAAAGGGCAUGCCUGUUCGAGCGUCAUUUGUACCUUCAAGCUUUGCUUGGUGUUGGGCGUUUUUUGUCUCCCUCUUUCUGGGAGACUCGCCUUAAAACGAUUGGCAGCCGGCCUACUGGUUUCGGAGCGCAGCACAUAUUUUGCGCUUUGUAUCAGGAGAAAAGGACGGUAAUCCAUCAAGACUCUACAUUUUUAACUUUUGACCUCGGAUCAGGUAGGGAUACCCGCUGAACUUAAGCAUAUCAAUAAGCGGAGGA